rnacentral:rRNA from 1 species
CGGGGUGCACCAGGCGCGAAAACUUUACAAUGCACGAAAGUGUGAUAAGGGAAUCCUAAGUGCUCAGGCAUUGCCUGGGCUUUUGCCAUAUGUAAAUAGUAUGGCGAAUAAGUAGUGGGCAAGACUGGUGCCAGCCGCCGCGGUAACACCAGCGCUACAAGUGGCAAUCGCGUUUAUUGGGCCUAAAGCGUCCGUAGCAGGUUUUGUAAAUUUCUUGUGAAACUGCCAGGCUUAACUUGGCAAUGUGCAGGGAACACUGCAAGACUUGAGACCGGGAAGGGUCGGAGGUAUUCCUGAGGGAGCGGUAAAAUGCUAUAAUCUCAGGAGGACCACCGGUGGCGAAGGCGUCCGACUAGAACGGAUCUGACUGUGAGGGACGAAAGCCAGGGGAGCAAACCGGAUUAGAUACCCGAGUAGUCCUGGCUGUAAACGCUGUGAGCUAGGUGUCGCGUAUUCUACGGGAAUGCGCGGUGUCGUAAGGAAGCUACUAAGCUCACCGCCUGGGAAGUACGGUCGCAAGACUCAAACUUUAAGGAAUUGGCGGGGGAGCAC